rnacentral:rRNA from 1 species
UCUGCCCUUGGGUUCGGAAUAACUGGGAGAAAUUCCAGCUAAUACCGGAUGAUGUCGCGAGACCAAAGAUUUAUCGCCUGAGGAUGAGCCCGCGUAGGAUUAGGUAGUUGGUGGGGUAAAGGCCUACCAAGCCGACGAUCCUUAGCUGGUCUGAGAGGAUGAUCAGCCACACUGGGACUGAGACACGGCCCAGACUCCUACGGGAGGCAGCAGUGGGGAAUAUUGGACAAUGGGCGAAAGCCUGAUCCAGCAAUGCCGCGUGAGUGAUGAAGGCCUUAGGGUUGUAAAGCUCUUUUACCCGGGAUGAUAAUGACAGUACCGGGAGAAUAAGCCCCGGCUAACUCCGUGCCAGCAGCCGCGGUAAUACGGAGGGGGCUAGCGUUGUUCGGAAUUACUGGGCGUAAAGCGCACGUAGGCGGCUUUGUAAGUUAGAGGUGAAAGCCUGGAGCUCAACUCCAGAAUUGCCUUUAAGACUGCAUCGCUUGAAUCCAGGAGAGGU